GGGGUUGUAGCUCAGUAGUAGAGCACAUGUAGAGCAUGUGUGAGGCCCUGGGUUCGAUCCCCAGCACCACA
rnacentral:tRNA from 1 species